CCUCCCAGAACUGCAAGGUGAUGCUAAGCAGGUCUUCCCUAAUAAAUAUGCAAAAUUCAUAGUUGAAUAGGUUCACCAUGUCCUCCCAGAACUGCAAGGUGAUGCUAAGAAGGUCUUCCCUAAUAAAUAUGUAAAAUUCAUAGUUGAAUAGGUUCACCAUGUCCUCCCAGAACUGCAAGGUGAUGCUAAGCAGGUCUUCCCUAAUAAAUAUGUAAAAUUCAUAGUUGAAAAGGUUCACCAUGUCCUCCCAGAACUGCAAGGUGAUGCUAAGAAGGUCUUCCCUAAUAAAUAUGUAAAAUUCAUAGUUGAAAAGGUUCACCAUGUCCUCCCAGAACUGCAAGGUGAUGCUAUGCAGGUCUUCCCUAAUAA